CGAAAUGCGAUAAGUAAUGUGAAUUGCAGAAUUCAGUGAAUCAUCGAAUCUUUGAACGCACCUUGCACUCCUUGGUAUUCCUUGGAGCAUGCCUGUUUGAGUAUCAUGAAAUCUUCAAAGUAAAUCUUUUGUUAACUCAAUUGGUUUCUACUUUGGUAUUGGAGGUCUUUGCAGCUUCACACCUGCUCCUCUUUGUUCAUUAGCUGGAUCUCAGUGUUAUGCUUGGUUCCACUCGGCGUGAUAAGUUAUCUAUCGCUGAGGACACUGUAAAAGGUGGCCAAGGUAAAUGCAGAUGAACCGCUUCUAAUAGUCCAUUGACUUGGACAAUACUUUUAUGAUCUGAUCUCAAAUCAGGUAGGACUACCCGCUGAACUUAAGC
rnacentral:misc_RNA from 1 species